GGGUGUUUCACCAUGUACAGCUUUACACACUGGCUAUUAUUCAGCGGGUCGCAGAUUCGAGCCCUGCAGCACCCACCA
rnacentral:tRNA from 1 species